CGCCGGAUUGGCAACAAUCGGGAGGAAAGUCCGGGCAACACGAGCCACCAUACUUCCUAACGGGAAGGGGCCUGAAGGGGCAACCCUCAGACUACAGCGAGUGCCACAGAAACCAGACCGCCGAUUGUGCGUAAUGCACAAGGCAAGGGUGAAACCGCGAGGCAAGAGCUCACGACCGUGCGCAGUGAUGCGCCGGAUGGUAAACCUUAUGGGUUGAAAGACCAAAUAUACCGGCUGCACGUAGGGCAGGCUCGCCCGAUGGCCGGGGGGUAGGUCGAUAGAGGCCGCCGGCGACGACGGCAGUAGAUUAAUGAUGGAAGGCUGCAUAAACAGUUACAGAACCCGGCUUACAAGCUGCCG
rnacentral:RNase_P_RNA from 1 species